GACAGAGGGUGCAAACGUUGUUCGGAAUUACUGGGCGUAAAGCGAGUGUAGGCGGUCUCAUAAGUCGGGUGUGAAAGCCCCCGGGCUCAACCCGGGAAGUGCACUCGAAACUGCGAGGCUAGAGUAUCGGAGAGGUUGGUGGAAUUCUCGGUGUAGAGGUGAAAAUUCGUAGAUAUCGAGAGGAACACCGGUGGCGAAGGCGGCCAACUGGACGAAUACUGACGCUGAGACUCGAAAGCGUGGGGAGCAAACAGG
rnacentral:rRNA from 1 species